UUUUUGGUGGCCGAAUAGAGGCGAUAGACUUUUAAUUUAUUAAUGAAAGACUUCUUUCCCCUGCAAU
rnacentral:tRNA from 1 species